rnacentral:rRNA from 1 species
UACGAGGGGGGCGAGCGUUGUUCGGAAUUAUUGGGCGUAAAGGGUGCGUAGGCGGUUUGGUAAGUCUUGUGUGCAAUCUACAGGCUCAACUUGUAGUCUGCACGAGAAACUGCCGGGCUUGAGUAUGGGAGAGGUGAGUGGAAUUCCUGGUGUAGCGGUGAAAUGCGUAGAUAUCAGGAGGAACACCUGUGGCGAAAGCGGCUCACUGGACCAUAACUGACGCUGAUGCACGAAAGCUAGGGGAGCAAACAGG